rnacentral:rRNA from 1 species
UACAGAGGUCCCGAGCGUUGUUCGGAUUCACUGGGCGUAAAGGGUGCGUAGGUGGCCUGAAAAGUUUGAUGUGAAAGCUCAGGGCUUAACCCUGAAAUGGCAUUGAAUACUGUUGGGCUGGAGGUUUGGAGGGGGGACUGGAAUUCUUGGUGUAGCGGUGAAAUGCGCAGAUAUCAGGAGGAACACCGGUGGCGAAGGCGGGUCUCUGGGCCGAAAUUGACGCUGAGGAGCGAAAGCGUGGGGAGCAAACAGG